AGAGUUUGAUCCUGGCUCAGAACGAACGUUGGCGGCAUGGAUCAGGCAUGCAAGUCGAACGAAUCCCAUCUGGGUAACUGGAUGGGGGAAGUGGCGAAAGGGGCAGUAAAGCGUGGGUAACUUGCCCCGGGGUUUGGAAUAGCCAUCCUAACGGAUGGGUAAUACCGAAUGCCCUGUCUGGUUGGCAUCAAUUGGACAGGAAAGAUUUAUCGCCCCGGGAGAGGCUCACGUAGUAUUAGCUAGAUGGUGAGGUAACGGCUCACCAUGGCCAAGAUGCUUAGCAGGUGUGAGAGCACGACCUGCGCCACUGGCACUGGGACACUGGCCAGACUCCUACGGGAGGCUGCAGUCGAGGAUCUUCGGCAAUGGGCGCAAGCCUGACCGAGCGAUGCCGCGUGUGCGAUGAAGGCCUUCGGGUUGUAAAGCACUGUCGAGGGGGAGAAAAGGGCAACCUUGAUCGACCCCUGGAGGAAGCACGGGCUAAGUUCGUGCCAGCAGCCGCGGUAAGACGAACCGUGCAAACGUUGCUCGGAAUCACUGGGCUUAAAGGGCGCGUAGGCGGGCGGUCAAGUCAGAGGUGAAAGCCCACGGCUCAACCGUGGAAGUGCCCCUGAUACUGGCCGUCUCGAGGGAGGUAGGGGCGUGCGGAACUUCCGGUGGAGCGGUGAAAUGCGUAGAUAUCGGAAGGAACACCGGUGGCGAAAGCGGCGCGCUGGACCUCUUCUGACGCUGAGGCGCGAAAGCCAGGGGAGCAAACGGGAUUAGAUACCCCGGUAGUCCUGGCCCUAAACGUUGGGUACCAGUAGUGGACUUACAUGGGUUCACUGCGACGCAAAGUUUUAGUACCCGCUGGGGAGUAUGGUCGCAGCUGAACUCAAGGAUGACGGGGCUCACACAGCGUGGAGCAUGUGCUAUCGAGCUACGCGAGA
rnacentral:rRNA from 1 species